UGGGGAAUAUUGCACAAUGGGCGCAAGCCUGAUGCAGCCAUGCCGCGUGUAUGAAGAAGGCCUUCGGGUUGUAAAGUACUUUCAGCGGGGAGGAAGGGAGUAAAGUUAAUACCUUUGCUCAUUGACGUUACCCGCAGAAGAAGCACCGGCUAACUCCGUGCCAGCAGCCGCGGUAAUACGGAGGGUGCAAGCGUUAAUCGGAAUUACUGGGCGUAAAGCGCACGCAGGCGGUUUGUUAAGUCAGAUGUGAAAUCCUCGGGCUCAACCUGGGAACUGCAUCUGAUACUGGCAAGCUUGAGUCUCGUAGAGGGGGAUAGAAUUCCAGGUGUAGCGGUGAAAUGCGUAGAGAUCUGGAGGAAUACCGGUGGCGAAGGCGGCCCCCUGGACGAAGACUGACGCUCAGGUGCGAAAGCGUGGGGAGCAAACAGG
rnacentral:rRNA from 1 species